AUUGAACGCUGGCGGCAGGCCUAACACAUGCAAGUCGAACGAGUGGCGGACGGGUGAGUAAUGUAUGGGGAACUGCCCGAUAGAGGGGGAUAACUACUGGAAACGGUAGCUAAUACCGCAUACUAUCGGAUGUGCCCAUAUGGGAUUAGCUAGUGGGUGGGGUAAAGGCUCACCAAGGCGACGAUCUCUAGCUGGUCUGAGAGGAUGACCAGCAACACUGGGACUGAGACACGGUCCAGACUCCUACGGGAGGCAGCAGUGGGGAAUAUUGCACAAUGGGCGCAAGCCUGAUGCAGCCAUGCCGCGUGUAUGAAGAAGGCCUUCGGGUUGUAAAGUACUUUCAGCGGGGAGGCGUUACCCGCAGAAGAAGCACCGGCUAACUCCGUGCCAGCCGCCGCGGUAAUAC
rnacentral:rRNA from 1 species